UGGGGAAUAUUGCACAAUGGGCGCAAGCCUGAUGCAGCCAUGCCGCGUGUAUGAAGAAGGCCUUCGGGUUGUAAAGUACUUUCAGCGGGGUGGAAGGGAGUAAAGUUAAUACCUUUGCUCAUUGACGUUACCCGCAGAAGAAGCACCGGCUAACUCCGUGCCAGCAGCCGCGGUAAUACGGAGGGUGCAAGCGUUAAUCGGAAUUACUGGGCGUAAAGCGCACGCAGGCGGUUUGUUAAGUCAGAUGUGAAAUCCCCGGGCUCAACCUGGGAACUGCAUCUGAUACUGGCAAGCUUGAGUCUCGUAGAGGGGGGUAGAAUUCCAGGUGUAGCGGUGAAAUGCGUAGAGAUCUGGAGGAAUACCGGUGGCGAAGGCGGCCCCCUGGACGAAGACUGACGCUCAGGUGCGAAAGCGUGGGGAGCAAACAGG
rnacentral:rRNA from 1 species